UUGAAAACCUUUUGACAGAUGAAGCUUUGAAAUUUCAGUUCAAUAUCAAAAUUAUGAUAGCAGUUUUUUUCGAAUUAUUACUGGCAUUAUUCGCAUAUUAUUCUUUUAAGGUUUUGCCGCCAAUAUCAGCUGUCGAUUAUAUACCACGUAUUUGUUGUUUUGGACGACAAAGGGGCUUAACAUCUCCAUUUUUUAAUGAAGUGAACACUGUUACACCUUCUGGUUGUAAUCAGGACGAUUCUUCCACUAUAACUAACCCAAAAAACUCGGAAACAAAUAUUUUUGCUAACAACGACAAACAACAGUAAAUUUUCCCGGUAAUUUCAACGUCGUUACCUUGUAUGUAUUCGUAGAAUGUAAAGGAGAAAGAUGUAUUCAAGAUUGUUGCAUGAAAUUUACCAGACGUAAAUGCCAACAGAAAUGCGUGUUGAAGAAUUGCAAGCAAUUUUUAAAGUCGUGCAAGGCAAUAAAGGAAUUUGAAAAAAGGAAUCCCUUUGCGCAAAAAUUAAAAAAGCAAAUGGACGUUGAAUGUAACAAUGAAAAAGGAGAAAAAGGUAGAGCGAGAGACCUGGAGUGUUAUUACAAGACACUCUUUGGUGAUGGAAACUGUGGGUUUUGUAAAAAAUUAAAAAGAGCCCUGUGCCAAUAUUACAGACCGGUAGACGUGGUUUAUGAAGAAUAGAAACUAAAGUUUUACCAGAGAAC